UGCCAGCCGCCGCGGUAAUACGGAGGGGGCUAGCGUUGUUCGGAAUUACUGGGCGUAAAGCGCACGUAGGCGGUUUGACAAGUUGAGGGUGAAAGCCCGGAGCUCAACUCCGGAAUUGCCCUCAAAACUGUUUCACUUGAGUCCGGGAGAGGGUAGUGGAAUUUCCAGUGUAGAGGUGAAAUUCGUAGAUAUUGGAAAGAACACCAGUGGCGAAGGCGGCUGCCUGGCCCGGAACUGACGCUGAGGUGCGAAAGCGUGGGGAGCAAACAGGAUUAGAUA
rnacentral:rRNA from 1 species